rnacentral:rRNA from 1 species
GUGCACCAGGCGAGAAAACUUCACAAUGUGCGAAAGCACGAUGAGGGAAUCCCAAGUGCUUGCACGUAAGUGUAAGCUGUUUCUCUGUCUAAAACGCAGAGAGAGUAAGGGCUGGGUAAGACGGGUGCCAGCCGCCGCGGUAAUACCUGCAGCUCGAGUGGUGACCGUUAUUAUUGGGCCUAAAACGUCCGUAGCCGGUUUAAUAAAUGCCUGGGUAAAUCGGACCGCUUAACGGUUCGAAUUCCGGGUAGACUGUUAAACUUGAGACCGGGAGAAGUUAGAGGUACUCCUGGGGUAGAGGUGAAAUUCUGUAAUCCUAGGGGGACCACCAGUGGCGAAGGCGUCUAACUAGAACGGGUCUGACGGUGAGGGACGAAGCCCUGGGGCGCAAACGGGAUUAGAUACCCGUGUAGU